rnacentral:rRNA from 1 species
AGCGAACGCUGGCGGCAGGCUUAACACAUGCAAGUCGAACGGGCAUAGCAAUAUGUCAGUGGCAGACGGGUGAGUAACGCGUGGGAACGUACCUUUUGGUUCGGAACAACACAGGGAAACUUGUGCUAAUACCGGAUAAGCCCUUACGGGGAAAGAUUUAUCGCCGAAAGAUCGGCCCGCGUCUGAUUAGCUAGUUGGUAGGGUAAUGGCCUACCAAGGCGACGAUCAGUAGCUGGUCUGAGAGGAUGAUCAGCCACAUUGGGACUGAGACACGGCCCAAACUCCUACGGGAGGCAGCAGUGGGGAAUAUUGGACAAUGGGCGAAAGCCUGAUCCAGCCAUGCCGCGUGAGUGAUGAAGGGCCUAGGGUUGUAAAGCUCUUUUGUGCGGGAAGAUAAUGACGGUACCGCAAGAAUAAGCCCCGGCUAACUUCGUG